UACGUAGGGUGCAAGCGUUGUCCGGAAUUAUUGGGCGUAAAGAGCUCGUAGGCGGUUCGUCGCGUCGGCUGUGAAAUCCCGAGGCUCAACCUCGGGUCUGCAGUCGAUACGGGCGGACUGGAGUUCGGCAGGGGAGACUGGAAUUCCUGGUGUAGCGGUGAAAUGCGCAGAUAUCAGGAGGAACACCGGUGGCGAAGGCGGGUCUCUGGGCCGGUACUGACGCUGAGGUGCGAAAGCGUGGGGAGCAAACAGG
rnacentral:rRNA from 1 species